rnacentral:lncRNA from 1 species
UGGGGUUAGGUUAUGCUUCAAAUGUGCUCUAUCUAGACUGAUUCAACCACAAAAUCAAAAGAUUAUGACAAAUCAAAUAGAACCAAGGAUGAAACUAGAGUAAAGUAGUUCCCUUUGUUUUCUAUUUACUUGUAUUUGUUUUUUUUCCCAAUAGUUUUGAAGCAUGUGAUGCUUACAGUUUAUGAAGAUGUAUAUUCACAUUUUAGUUUCUGACAUCCAAAGAAACAAGGCCGAAAGGAGUAAAACAAGAGUCAUGCCUAACUAGAGGACUUUCCAAAAUGACAAUGACUGCCCUAUGAGCUGUUCAAUGUACUCUCCCGCUUCUCCUGCAAUUUAGAUACAGUAAUUAAGAAAUUAAGUCUAUGAAGCACUCAGACAGUGUGCCAUAAAUGAUAAAGACUUCCAUGAAACGGGGAUAACACUAUUUUACUAUCCCCGGCCAAUAACGCCAUAACACACGUGAUAACACUUCCACGUCGCAUAGCAUUAUUGGCCGGGUAUAGCAAAACAAUGUUAUCCCCAUUGCAACUAAGUUUUUCUCGCCAUAAGGGGUCAUUAAAAAAAAUUACCUGUCAUCAAAGCAUGUAAACCCUUAGCUGCAGAGAACACUGGAAUAUGCUACGGUCAGUCAUCCAAGCGCGUGUGGUCAACUAACCUUAGCAAAAUCCAUACAAAUUUACAGGUCGGCAUAAACAGCUGAAACAGAUGAAACAGACACGAUGGCUUGUGAUGUGACCAAAGUAUACCAAUCAUAUUGAAAGGUUAUUAAAUACAAAGGUAAGAAAAUAGGAUCAGUUUUAUCAUUAUGAACAGAACAUGUAAAACAAAUAAGUAAAAUAUGAUUAAGACUUUGGCACCACAAAGCUAGCAAAACACUUUCGUGUAUGCAUAUAAAAGAAAAUAACUGUAUACAUACUUUGUAAGAGGUGGCCACUAUAGAGAAAUUGUCAGUUCAUGUCUGCAGGUGGACAGGCAAGAUUAGAGCUUGGUACAAAAUAUGAAUAUCUAAGAGUUAUUGUCACUGUGCAAUGAACCCAAGCUGCUCUCAUGUUGGAGAAACAGUCGGGAAAAGAUUUGGACAAUGAAAAUAACCAUGAUGCUGCCAUAAAUCCCUUUGAGGUCAAGCAAACCAUCUGGGAACUAACAAAGGUGAAUGCCUAAAACAGGGUUUCUGUAUUUUAAAAUCUAAGGCAUCAUAUACAAUUACCAACAACAAUCUGC